AAAAAUAAUUUCUAUUUGGAUCGUCAAGAACCAUAUUGAUUUCUCUCCUUAUGCAUAUCAAUCAGAAAAAAGAGAGGAAAUGGUAGCUUAAUUUGCUUAAUUAUUUCAAUCAGAGACGCUAAAUUUAAUUACAUUUGCUAAGAGAUUCCAACUUCUCAGAAUCCCAGCUAACUAAAAGAUUAUAUCCUAGAAAAUCAGAACACUCUUCUUUUUUUUCUUUUAUCUCUAUUGAUUAAUUUGUAGCUCCUAAAAAUUCAAAUAAUAAUAAUAAUAAUAAU
rnacentral:misc_RNA from 1 species